GGGCUUUUUUGUUUCUUUUUUUUUAAAAAAAAACCGUACAUCACAAAUUCACAAAAAUAUUUAAACUUUAAUCAAUCAUUCUCUCCUGUCUCCACUUUCUUUCUAGGGAAAGUUCAAUUGCUAUAACAUAUUACAAUUUACAUACAAUGAUUGAUAAAUAAUAAAGUACACAAAUUCAAACCAAGACAGCAAGACUAUUCAUUUCAUUUGACAUGUCACCAUCAACAAACAUAAGCUUCAAAUGCAUACUUGCAAUCCCAUCUGCUGGCUAGUGAAAGAAUGGCUUGACAUCCUGUGCAAAAAGAUUCAUAAAUGUAUCAUUAUAUAUGGACCAUCUUAUAAUUGAUUCAUCCAUUUAGCCACAAUCAACAAAAUAAAGCUAAUAAUACUACCAAGUGUACUGCAAUCUACCAUGAAACUAAUAAUUUAAAUGCAACACUUCUGGAAUGAUGAGACUUUAAAGGCAAAAGUUAGGAUAUGCAAAAUAUAUUUUGACAUUAAUACAAAGUAGACUAGUUUUGGUUACUUACAUAAUUACCUCACCUGAAAUGAGAACAAUAUAUGGUUACUGGAUCAAAAAAAUAGCAUAAUGAAUGAAUGGAGAUAUCAACUGGAGAGUGGAGACCAAAGAAGGCCAUUGCAACAUUAAUGAAUGUAUUUGUGCAGUGUACAUGAUGAAUGUAUUUGUGCAGACAAUGCAGUGUACAUGAUGAAUGUACAGACCAACUGGAGAGUGCAGUGUACAUGAUCAACUUCCAUCAAUGUAAUUUUGUGCAGUGUACAUGAUGUUCCUCAACAUUAAUGAAUGUAUUUGUAAAACUAAUUCAUAGCAGAUCCUGCAAAUGCAACCCCAACCACUGGAAGGAAACUAACAAUAAAAAAUAUGGGGUGAAAAAACACGAAUAUAAAAACAGUACAAGCAUGACAAACUUCCCCCAAACUGUGUUUGAUAAAAAGUCAAAUGAGUCUAAUGACUAAGAUUCAAACCUGUAGGGUCGUGAGCUCAUUCUUAAAAGUACAACUUACACAACUCUUCAAACUUAUGAUUCAUGUAUGUUGUUGGCACCACAUAUAAAUUCAGACAACAAAACGGAUUUUGUCUUGUACAUAGUAUAAUACUAACAUAGUGUCAUAACCCAUUGUGUUAAGUGCACAAGUCUUUGGCACAAAAGUGAAUGAUGCUAAACAAUUUUAUGAUAAUAAUUAAUAAAGUAAUAAACUUCCACCCAAGUCUCAACUGACAUUUUCAUGUUGCAUCUUCCCCUGUACGAGUGCAAGAUGUACUUAAGCUAAAAGCAGGUGGACAAAUGUGCAACCAGUUAAGUGCUAAAGUAAAAUAUAAACAUUAUACGAUUGUGAUGCCUACUCCUAUGUGUAGGUUGAUGUUUGAUGUUUAGGCUUUAUUGCAGUUCCAAUAUUUGCAGACUUGCAUGAUUAUUCCCCUCAAUGAUUGUACUUGUUAAUAAAACUAUCUAAAAAUCUCUAACACGCACAGAGAGAUUAAAGUACCAGUAUAUCUUAUAAAAACAUAUUAAUUAUGUUUAAACUAUCACAUCGUAAAUCUCCGUUCUUAUCUUUCUUUUUAUGCAAAAUAACUGCAGGCUACACUGCAAAUUACCAUUUUUGAAGAGUGAGAAAAUCAACAAUCCUAAAAGAAGAAACUAUGUCAAUCCAUUUCAGUAUUUAACACAGAAAAAGAAUUAUCGCCUCAAGGCCCUCAACUUAAACACUAAAGAAAGAGAGAUUGUUUUGAAAAUUAAUCUUCAACACAUAACAAAGGACACAAAACAGCUCAAUCAAUUCAAUAACUCAAUUUAUUAGAAUAAGUAUAUUCACAAUCAAACUAUAAAUUACAAAAGAUAAUGAUUCCAGAAAUGUAAUUUCAAGGAAUAUCUAAUCUAUAUCUCUAAUUCAUGCAGUUCAUAUACUUGAUUUCAGCCAUUGAACUUAACCCCUGCAACUUCCAAUACUUCAUGUGGAAUUACAAAAUAAAUUAAGAACAUAAAUUAAAAAAAAAACAGAACAAACAAAAUAACAAUAGAAAGAUCAGUAAGAUAAGAGGUUGAAUGCAUCUGAAUAGUGCAUAUAUGUUGGUAUCGAUGCUCACAAAAUAAUGAUACUCAAGAGGCCCGUAACCCCAACAAAAGAUUUCACCCAAUAACAAAAUAGGCGACAGCAGCCAAACCAUAGAACAAAAUCAACUUCAAAACAAGGUAACUCAAACGAAAAACUAAAAAACCAAAAAGUUAAAGACUGAAAAACGAAGAGAAAACGAAGGGAAAAAGGUAGAUCCUUCAAUCAAAAAUGAAAAAGUUAAGCCAUUUAAUCAGUCAAUAGUAACUCAAAAAAACUACUUGUAGAGAAGAAGAAGCUACACAGUCGUCACUCGUCAAUCGGCGACUCGGCGUGGUCGAUCGAUCAAAGUGUGGAUCGUUGUAUCUCACUCUCUCUGUUGAGGACUCUCCGCUCUCUCGGUCUCUCUCUCACUUCUCAGUUUCAGAUCUAGACUAGAUCUGAAAAAUGUCCCUUUUACUUUAUUAGCGAGUCUCGAACAUAGCAUGAUAGACAGAAUAAGGUUUUUUUUAAAAGAUUGGGCGGGCCCGGGCACCCACGGGCGUGUCAUUUUUAGUGGUACAAAACAAUAAAAUUUAUAGUCCAGUUUUUGACGGACUG
rnacentral:lncRNA from 1 species